UAUUAACAGGAUGUGCGUUGGGAUAGUACCAUUUUCACUGCUGCCUUACCGCUAACGUCUCUGCUCAACUCAGAUUCCCCUGCCAUAUCUGCUUUCAUCUCUGCACAACUCAGAUUCCUGUCUCUCGUCUUCUACUUCGACGCAGCCUCCAACAUCCCCAGCGACAAGAGGACGCUAUUUUAAAUUGGGGAAGUUCAUUUCCUUGGGCAAGUUCAUUGACCUGGUGGUGAACACGGAGAAGACGAUUUUCUCUGCUGCUGAAAUUUUGCAAUGGCUUUUCUGUUUAACAAAUUUCAAGAGGCAGUGAAAGUUCUUGCAAAAAGUCCUACAUUUGCCAGAGAUCCAAGGCUUUGAAGCAGACAAAUCGCCUUUUCCUAUAUACCUGGUAACUGUCUAUUUGUUAUUGAAAUGAUCACUGGUUAUAAUUUGCCAUUUUUUUAAUGUAGAAUCUAUGUAGACAAUGGGAACUUCACUCAUAUUAUCGUUUACUAUUUGCUAGAACUUCAUUCACAUUAUCAUUUAGCAUUUGUAAUAACCAAGUAAACAUUACCAACUCAGUAGUCCUGUCACAUUUAAGAUGUGCUGCUUAAGUGUUAAUUUACUGUUUUCUCUCAUUCUAGGGUCUCGCAUCAUUUAUUUCUGCAGUAAUUUAUCUUCAUUGCACAUUUGGAUCAGACUCUACAUUGCACAUUUAAUGUUGAUGUUUCUCUUUACAAUCUGAUCUCAGCCUCCUACAUUGAUUUUACCACUUGCAACCAAAUUCAAGGAAUUUGGUAUCAUCAACCAGUGAGUAUGAGAUAUAGAGAGAGAAAGCAUACCAACUUCGGACACGAGAGCAGUGGAUAUGGGAACUGAGCAGUGAAUGAAAGAAACAAGGAGUGAACUCAUGUUUAAGCUGCGCCUGGAAUGGAGUUUGAAGUGGCAAUCAAUAUCAAUGAUGGUGGUUUGGUGUUGAUAUUUGAUAGUGCUGUUCUUGGUCUUGUUGAUGGGUCAAGACAUUCCUGUUUUAAAUGGAGAGGAGGCAGGCUUUCCACCUGGGAACAACUCUGGGGAAGGCUUUAGUCCACUCUCCUUGUGAAGCGCGUGCAUUUUCUUAUUUGCAACGGUAAUAAAUGUAUUUAAUUAUAAUUUAAUAAAAAGCUUAACCCACAGGUUUGAUUUA